ACCCGGAUGCAUUUCGGGUCAGGUGCUGCAGGCCGAAGCACAGUUACCUGACAGGUAAAGCUCCUCUCUGUGUUGCAGGUGUUCGGAUGGACCGAGUGAGAGGAGGACGGCAGAAGUACAAGAGGCGGGUGGAGACAGGACUGAGUUUAUACGCCAAAGCCCCGUACAGCCACGCCGUCAGCAGCCGAAACAAGGUGAUUUCCCAUUUGCUGCUGACAGAGCCCGAUCAGCCGCCAAUCAGGACAAUUCGACCAAUGACAGCAGCCUGCGGACCCAGCUGACCCUGUGUGACCUCCUGAACCGGGAGCUGCUGGUUCUGAUUAGCUGGGCCAAACAGAUACCAGAUCAAAAUGACACAAACUAACCAGCAACUUCCAUGUUCUGCAAAUUUUACUGUUUCUCCAGGCUCUCAUUGGUCGACCAGAUGUCACUGCUGCAUAGCGGUUGGAUGGAGGCGCUGCUUGUGGGCGUGGCCUGGCGGUCGCAGCGGCG